AAUCUGGACCGGGCAUAACCAAAUCAAAUGAGUAAACGAGCCCACAAGCUGAAUUUGUUCCGGUCAGGGAAGCUCCAGCCUUUUCCGCCACACCACAGCUGACAUGUUCGUUUUAUGUGUUUUCUAUGCAAAAUCCCAUCCUAGCAAAAAGACAACUGUCGGGGCAUGGACUGUUCCCGUUAUGGUAAUUGAGUGUUGGACAACGCAUAAAAUGCAGUCGGAGACCAUAAAUAUGUUUGCACUCCAGCAAACGAAAGCACGGCGUGCGUGCAGGGUGUGUGUGCCAUUUUUUUGACCGCUACAAAUAUGUUUGAUAUUUUUUAUUGAAUCCCGUUGUCUUACCUCCCCACCCACUCCCCCUGCCAUCCACACCCUCCGCACAGGAAGUUGUUGCCGUCUGUGUCUGUGUCUG
rnacentral:lncRNA from 1 species